rnacentral:tRNA from 1 species
GGCUAUCUAGCUCAAAUGGUAAAAAGAGCAGCUGCCUUGUAAGCAGCCGGUUGUGGGUUCGAGUCCCACGAUAGCCUCCA